UGCAUGGCUCUCUUCUGUAGGGACUCUCCUGCCACUCCUCGCAACCCAUUGGAUGGCUAGGUGUAGGGACUCUCCUGCCACUCUUCGCAACCCAUUAGGUGGCUAGGUUGUCGUUCCAACCUUGAGUCCGACUUUCUUUAGACGGACCCCUUCACGUGCCCUCGGCAAAGCUCAAGUCCAACCUUCUUGGUGGACACUCAACUUGAUGCCUUAAUUGCAUCAAUGGCAAGACCUAAGCAUGAUCAAGCCCAAUGUUUAUAGUCUACGGCCUUAACUCUCUUGGAACAUGGCUGCACGACCUGGCAGACAUGG
rnacentral:lncRNA from 1 species